rnacentral:rRNA from 1 species
AUUGAACGCUGGCGGAAUGCUUUACACAUGCAAGUCGAGCGGCAGCGCGGGGGCAACCCUGGCGGCGAGCGGCGAACGGGUGAGUAACAUAUCGGAACGUACCCAGUCGUGGGGGAUAACUAUCCGAAAGGAUAGCUAAUACCGCAUACGUCCUGAGGGAGAAAGCGGGGGAUCGCAAGACCUCGCGCGAUUGGAGCGGCCGAUAUCGGAUUAGCUAGUUGGUGGGGUAAAGGCUCACCAAGGCGACGAUCCGUAGCGGGUUUGAGAGAAUGAUCAGCCACACUGGGACUGAGACACGGCCCAGACUCCUACGGGAGGCAGCAGUGGGGAAUAUUGGACAAUGGGCGAAAGCCUGAUCCAGCCAUGCCGCGUGAGUGAAGAAGGCCUCGGUU